rnacentral:lncRNA from 1 species
AGGUGAUGAUGAUAGUGCUCAUUUAGGCUUAUGAAUUGUUUACGCUCUUGUAGAUUUGGCUUGAAAUCAUGUUUAGUUUUUAGUGAUGUCUGAUGUGGUGGGCUUUGUAGUGGUUUGUACAACUAUUGUCUACUUAGGUUUGCCUCUAUGGGGUCGUUGGUUUUGUUGCUCUUUGGUGCUUGAUUUUUUUAUUGUUCAAUUGGGAAAAAAAGGUUAUCUUGUUGAAAUUUAUCUAAUUUAAUUGUUUGUUCUUUUAAAAAGUGAAAGUGACUUUUCCAUUUCUAAAACGAGGAUCUUAGCAACCCUUAACUAAAUCGAUUAUUUAAAAUCUUAUCGACAAAAUUUAAUAGCUAUAGGAUGGUUUAUUUGUUAAGAUUGAUGAUUUUUUGUUGACCUAUAAAAGAAAUUGAUAAUUUUGUUUCGUAGGUGCUAAUCCCG